rnacentral:rRNA from 1 species
AUUGAACGCUGGCGGCAGGCCUAACACAUGCAAGUCGAACGGUAACAGGAAGCAGCUUGCUGCUUCGCUGACGAGUGGCGGACGGGUGAGUAAUGUCUGGGAAGCUGCCUGAUGGAGGGGGAUAACUACUGGAAACGGUAGCUAAUACCGCAUAAUGUCGCAAGACCAAAGAGGGGGACCUUCGGGCCUCUUGCCAUCGGAUGUGCCCAGAUGGGAUUAGCUUGUUGGUGGGGUAACGGCUCACCAAGGCGACGAUCCCUAGCUGGUCUGAGAGGAUGACCAGCCACACUGGAACUGAGACACGGUCCAGACUCCUACGGGAGGCAGCAGUGGGGAAUAUUGCACAAUGGGCGCAAGCCUGAUGCAGCCAUGCCGCGUGUAGGAAGAAGGCCUUCGGGUUGUAAAGUACUUUCAGCGGGGAGGAAGGGAGUAAAGUUAAUACCUUUGCUCAUUGACGUUACCCGCAGAAGAAGCACCGGCUAACUCCGUG